GACUCUCGGCAACGGAUAUCUCGGCUCUCGCAUCGAUGAAGAACGUAGCGAAAUGCGAUACUUGGUGUGAAUUGCAGAAUCCCGUGAACCAUCGAGUCUUUGAACGCAAGUUGCGCCCGAGGCCUCGGCCGAGGGCACGUCUGCCUGGGUGUCACGCAACGUCGCCAGCGCCCAUC
rnacentral:rRNA from 1 species